CAUUUUUUUCCAAAAUAUGGCCGAUAUUUCACAAAAUUUUACCAGGUAAACUUAUGAGCACAAAUGUAUACGGGGGGAAAAAAGUCUUUUACCUGAAACGAUAAUGUCUUAACCUGUAAAUGUCAUUGUGCAGAUGAAUUGUGGUUUUCUGCACGAACAAGUUAAAGUCGAUCUUGAACUUCAGUGAAUUUGGAGUUGUAAGUAUCUCUGUUUCCCUGAUAACAAAUCUCAUUAUAAUUCUUCUUGGUUUUUCUCAGCUACAUGCAAAUUAGGGUCGUCUCCAAUCAGACACAUGAAUGUAAUAAAUGAAGUGUGACUGUGCCGUAAUCCUCCUUUAAAUGACUUUGCGGGAUUAUGAUCCUCUCUCUCUUUUUUUUUCUGAAAUUCAAUUCUGAGUGGGAUCAGACUUUGAGCAGGAGAGUUGAUCCGAGAGUAAUAACCCACAGCUUUAGUAAUUAGCGGUAUUUUCCCAUUUCGUUUUUAAUUAAUAUUAUUGAGUGACUUUUGUCCCUUUGCCAUCUUUGUCCACCUUUUCAGUUUGGUAAUAAGUCAUGUGCUUUGAUUGGUUUCCGUGCUUUUCCGGUGCACGUCUGCUCGGCGUACGACCGGCUGAGUAGGAAUACGUCCAAACUCAUCCGCAUAAACUGUAAACUGAUCUUUUUCUCUCCGUUUCAGCUCUCCAUCCAGACUACAACUGCAUAUUUCUCACCCAAAAACGGCCUCCAUAGUGUGUAAAUCUCAGUUUGUAGGGGGCGGAAACUGAUCUUGACCAUGUGAGAGAAAACCAGGAAGUUACUCUCUCCCUGAGUUUUCUGACACACUUUCCAUUUGUCCAACAUCAUCGUCUGAUGGAGAAACAGGAGAGAUCAGAGGGUGAGUGAGGUGGAAACCAACAGAAGAAGACAUGAGUAACGAGGUGUCCAGCAGCAGCCUGUCCGGCGUGGUUAAAGUCCAGCGAGAACACCAUGGCGAACCGAGACGAAGCGUCACUGUGCGGAGAGCU